rnacentral:rRNA from 1 species
GGCGAAAGGGAGAGUAAUACGUAGAAAUCUACCCUCGGGUCUGGGAUAGCGUCGGGAAACUGGCGGUAAUACCGGAUAACGUCUUCGGACCAAAGGUGUGACUCCACCUGAGGAUGAGUCUACGUCCUAUUAGCUUGUUGGCGGGGUAAUGGCCCACCAAGGCAAUGAUGGGUACCGGGUGUGAGAGCAUGACCCGGCUCACUGGGACUGAGACACUGCCCAGACACCUACGGGUGGCUGCAGUCGAGAAUCUUUGUCAAUGGACGAAAGUCUGAACAAGCGACGCCGCGUGCGGGAUGAAGGCCCUCGGGUUGUAAACCGCUGUCGUAGGGGAACAAAUUCAUUGGGGUACUCCCCUUUGAUUGAGUGAUCCUAGGAGGAAGGACGGGCUAAGUUCGUGCCAGCAGCCGCGGUAAGACGAACCGUCCAAACGUUAUUCGGUAUCACUGGGCUUAAAGAGUUCGUAGGCGGCCAAGCAGGUCAGGUGUGAAAUCCCACAGCUCAACUGUGGAACUGCGCUUGAAACCGCAUGGCUUGAGGGAGAUAGAGGUGAGCGGAACAGAU